CGUGCGCUUGCGGAUCAUUUCCUGAUGGCGUUACCAAAUAUCAACAAGCAUUUCUGGCACCGUUGCUGGGGAGAAAGACGGUUUGCUGAGAUAACUUUAAGUCUUGCUAUUAUCUUGUAUUAUACUUUUAUUCUUUUAUCUUUUUAUUUUUUCCAUCUUUAUGGAUAACUCAAAAUCCAUACCUAUUAUUGAAUUCUUUGCACCUUCGGAGACCAGCCAUAGACAAUGGGAGUCAAUAAGUCCUGCCCCUAAUUAUGAUCUGUGUCCGGAGUUGAUUGCAAUAGGUCAAAACCAACCCUUUUCUAUAGCCGAGGUCCUAUCUUUUAAUCAAGAAGAUAAUGAACUUUUAGCUACACCUAGGGAAUCUUUUAAUCUUUCUAUAAAUUCUAGUUUAAACCUAGCCCUACAAGACCAUGUUUUAAAUCGAUAUUUUCUCAUUGGUCUUAAUCAUAUAACCUUUGGUAGAGUUUUUCUUUCUUUAUCUAAUAGUAAAGCAAGGUAUUUUAUUCGUG
rnacentral:lncRNA from 1 species